rnacentral:rRNA from 1 species
GGUUGAUCCUGCCAGUAGUCAUAUGCUUGUCUCAAAGACUAAGCCAUGCAUGUCUAAGUAUAAAUGUUAUACAGUGACACUGCGAAUGGCUCAUUAAAACAGUUAUAGUUUAUUUGAUAAUCAAAAUUACAUGGAUAACCGUGGUAAUUCUAGAGCUACUACAUGCUGGUUAGCCUGACUUUUAGGAAGGGCUGUAUUUAUUAGAUAACAAAUCAAUAUUCCCCGUGUCUAUUGUGACGACUCAUAAUAACUGAUCGAAUCGCAUGGGCUUUGCCCGCGAUAAAUCAUUCAA